rnacentral:rRNA from 1 species
CGGGGAAGGGUAGCUUGCUACCUGACCUAGCGGCGGACGGGUGAGUAAUGCUUAGGAAUCUGCCUAUUAGUGGGGGACAACAUUCCGAAAGGAAUGCUAAUACCGCAUACGCCCUACGGGGGAAAGCAGGGGAUCUUCGGACCUUGCGCUAAUAGAUGAGCCUAAGUCAGAUUAGCUAGUUGGUGGGGUAAAGGCCUACCAAGGCGACGAUCUGUAGCGGGUCUGAGAGGAUGAUCCGCCACACUGGGACUGAGACACGGCCCAGACUCCUACGGGAGGCAGCAGUGGGGAAUAUUGGACAAUGGGCGGAAGCCUGAUCCAGCCAUGCCGCGUGUGUGAAGAAGGCCUUUUGGUUGUAAAGCACUUUAAGCGAGGAGGAGGCUACUUGGAUUAAUACUCUAGGAUAGUGGACGUUACUCGCAGAAUAAGCACCGGCUAACUCUGUGCCAGCAGCCGCGGUAAUACAAAGGGUGCGAGCGUUAAUCGGAUUUACUGGGCGUAAAGCGUGCGUAGGCGGCUUUUUAAGUCGGAUGUGAAAUCCCUGAGCUUAACUUAGGAAUUGCAUUCGAUACUGGGAAGCUAGAGUAUGGGAGAGGAUGGUAGAAUUCCAGGUGUAGCGGUGAAAUGCGUAGAGAUCUGGAGGAAUACCGAUGGCGAAGGCAGCCAUCUGGCCUAAUACUGACGCUGAGGUACGAAAGCAUGGGGAGCAAACAGGAUUAGAUACCCUGGUAGUCCAUGCCGUAAACGAUGUCUA